AAGACUAUAGACCUGCGGAGUACCUGCGGAAGGAUCAUUAUAGAGUUUUCUAAACUCCCAACCCAUGUGAACUUACCUUUUGUUGCCUCGGCAGAAGUUAUAGGUCUUCUUAUAGCUGCUGCCGGUGGACCAUUAAACUCUUGUUAUUUUAUGUAAUCUGAGCGUCUUAUUUUAAUAAGUCAAAACUUUUAACAACGGAUCUCU
rnacentral:misc_RNA from 1 species